GUGCUCACUUCGGCAGUACAUACAUUAAAACUGGAAUGACGCAGAGAAGGUUAGCAUGGCCUCUACACAAGGAUGACAGGCAAAUCUGUGAAGCGUUCCAUAUUUUU